rnacentral:rRNA from 1 species
GGGACACGUGGUAUCCUGUCUGAAUAUGGGGGGACCAUCCUCCAAGGCUAAAUACUCCUGACUGACCGAUAGUGAACCAGUACCGUGAGGGAAAGGCGAAAAGAACCCCGGCGAGGGGAGUGAAAAAGAACCUGAAACCGUGUACGUACAAGCAGUGGGAGCCUCUUAAUGGGGUGACUGCGUACCUUUUGUAUAAUGGGUCAGCGACUUAUAUUCUGUAGCAAGGUUAACCGAAUAGGGGAGCCGAAGGGAAACCGAGUCUUAACUGGGCGUUAAGUUGCAGGGUAUAGACCCGAAACCCGGUGAUCUAGCCAUGGGCAGGUUGAAGGUUGGGUAACACUAACUGGAGGACCGAACCGACUAAUGUUGAAAAAUUAGCGGAUGACUUGUGGCUGGGGGUGAAAGGCCAAUCAAACCGGGAGAUAGCUGGUUCUCCCCGAAAGCUAUUUAGGUAGCGCCUCGUGAAUUCAUCUCCGGGGGUAGAGCACUGUUUCGGCAAGGGGGUCAUCCCGACUUACCAACCCGAUGCAAACUGCGAAUACCGGAGAAUGUUAUCACGGGAGACACACGGCGGGUGCUAACGUCCGUCGUGAAGAGGGAAACAACCCAGACCGCCAGCUAAGGUCCCAAAGUCAUGGUUAAGUGGGAAACGAUGUGGGAAGGCCCAGACAGCCAGGAUGUUGGCUUAGAAGCAGCCAUCAUUUAAAGAAAGCGUAAUAGCUCACUGGUCGAGUCGGCCUGCGCGGAAGAUGUAACGGGGCUAAACCAUGCACCGAAGCUGCGGCAGCGACACUAUGUGUUGUUGGGUAGGGGAGCGUUCUGUAAGCCUGUGAAGGUGUGCUGUGAGGCAUGCUGGAGGUAUCAGAAGUGCGAAUGCUGACAUAAGUAACGAUAAAGCGGGUGAAAAGCCCGCUCGCCGGAAGACCAAGGGUUCCUGUCCAACGUUAAUCGGGGCAGGGUGAGUCGACCCCUAAGGCGAGGCCGAAAGGCGUAGUCGAUGGGAAACAGGUUAAUAUUCCUGUACUUGGUGUUACUGCGAAGGGGGGACGGAGAAGGCUAUGUUGGCCGGGCGACGGUUGUCCCGGUUUAAGCGUGUAGGCUGGUUUUCCAGGCAAAUCCGGAAAACCAAGGCUGAGGCGUGAUGACGAGGCACUACGGUGCUGAAGCGACAAAUGCCCUGCUUCCAGGAAAAGCCUCUAAGCAUCAGGUAACAUCAAAUCGUACCCCAAACCGACACAGGUGGUCAGGUAGAGAAUACCAAGGCGCUUGAGAGAACUCGGGUGAAGGAACUAGGCAAAAUGGUGCCGUAACUUCGGGAGAAGGCACGCUGAUAUGUAGGUGAAGCGACUUGCUCGUGGAGCUGAAAUCAGUCGAAGAUACCAGCUGGCUGCAACUGUUUAUUAAAAACACAGCACUGUGCAAACACGAAAGUGGACGUAUACGGUGUGACGCCUGCCCGGUGCCGGAAGGUUAAUUGAUGGGGUUAGCGGUAACGCGAAGCUCUUGAUCGAAGCCCCGGUAAACGGCGGCCGUAACUAUAACGGUCCUAAGGUAGCGAAAUUCCUUGUCGGGUAAGUUCCGACCUGCACGAAUGGCGUAAUGAUGGCCAGGCUGUCUCCACCCGAGACUCAGUGAAAUUGAACUCGCUGUGAAGAUGCAGUGUACCCGCGGCAAGACGGAAAGACCCCGUGAACCUUUACUAUAGCUUGACACUGAACAUUGAGCCUUGAUGUGUAGGAUAGGUGGGAGGCUUUGAAGUGUGGACGCCAGUCUGCAUGGAGCCGACCUUGAAAUACCACCCUUUAAUGUUUGAUGUUCUAACGUUGGCCCGUAAUCCGGGUUGCGGACAGUGUCUGGUGGGUAGUUUGACUGGGGCGGUCUCC